rnacentral:rRNA from 1 species
UACGUAGGGGGCAAGCGUUAUCCGGAUUUACUGGGUGUAAAGGGAGCGUAGACGGCCAUUCAAGCCAGAUGUGAAAGCCCGGGGCUCAACCCCGGGACUGCAUUUGGAACUGUAUGGCUGGAGUGUCGGAGAGACAGGCGGAAUUCCUAGUGUAGCGGUGAAAUGCGUAGAUAUUAGGAGGAACACCAGUGGCGAAGGCGGCCUGCUGGACGAUGACUGACGUUGAGGCUCGAAAGCGUGGGGAGCAAACAGG